rnacentral:rRNA from 1 species
UACGUAGGGUCCGAGCGUUGUCCGGAAUUAUUGGGCGUAAAAGAGCUCGUAGGCGGUUUGUCGCGUCUGCUGUGAAAUCCCGAGGCUCAACCUCGGGUCUGCAGUGGGUACGGGCAGACUGGAGUGCGGUAGGGGAGAAUGGAAUUCCUGGUGUAGCGGUGGAAUGCGCAGAUAUCAGGAGGAACACCGAUGGCGAAGGCAGUUCUCUGGGCCGUAACUGACGCUGAGGAGCGAAAGCGUGGGGAGCGAACAGG